CCCGCCUGCAAGGCAAGAGGGCCACACACCGGAUCCUGCUGUCCCCCCAGCCCCCGGAAUCGCAGCAGCCUAAACAAGACAACAGAGCUUGCCGAGGGGGAGCGCUCCCCCUCCCCGGGGGUGUCCCUGGACUCAGGGUACCUGCUGGGGGGAGGGGAUACAGCACCCUGGAGACCCUCUCGCCAACCUGAACGGAUUCAGAAUCGCUGAUGGAAGACAGGAGUCGGGAGCUGUGUUUUCCGUGGGGAGCUGUCAAGAGAGGGGAGCUUGUGCGACUAUCUCCUGAUGCUCAUUAGAUAAGGAAGUUUACUACCACCAGUUAAUCACCAAGACAUCUUUCCUGCCUUCAAUUACUGCAGACGGACACAGAAGAAAUGAAGCAACAGGGGUUCCUAAGAGCACCCGUGUCUGCGGCACGAAGCCUUGUCCCCACCAUCCUGGAGGAGGAGCCGCGUCCCUGCCUGGGGCAUGCUGUAGGCGUCACAGUUAUUCGGCCCUGAACGGAGCCUGUCCACGCGACCAAGAAAGCAGGAGGGAAGGAAUAAAUGUGAGUCAAGAAGAUCGAGAAGAUCUUGCAUCCCAGGCAGCCGGUACUACCCCUCGCCUGCAUUUAGUCCUAGCACUAGAACUGCAGUCACGCUAACACUUCGGAAGCUGCUUCAAGAAUUGCGGUUGGCGUCCUCCCCUGUCGCCCAGAGCCCAAAUGGCGCACAGUGUGACUGACGGUCUAGCUGCCCUGUGUGGUCAAGGCUGAAGGCCACCAGGCCAGGUCACGAUUCGGGUGUACCAUCUGAGGAGGAGGAUUCUAAGUAUUCAUUGUCAGCAUGUGUCACUGUCCAUCAUCGUGCACCGUGAGCCUGGCUGCCCUUUUGGAAUGGAGCCGUCAGAGCAGGGCCUGAGCUCUGGGGUCCCCAGCGGCUCCAGCUCCUGGUUGGUGUUGUUCACCGCUGCAUGCCCAGUGCCUGCCCGGAGUCUAGCUGACGGAGAGGCCCGAGCAGUUGUGCUGAAUGAGGAGCACGUGAGGCAUGUGGACGUUUUCUAAGCUGGAAAGAACCGUAUAAAUACAAGCUACAUACUACACCUUAGAUUUAUGGGGCCACACCUUGAA